GAUGAACGCUGACAGAAUGCUUAACACAUGCAAGUCGACUGGAAUUCACUUCGGUGAUAGUACGGUGGCGGACGGGUGAGUAACGCGUAAAGAACUUGCCCUCUAGACUGGGACAACUGUUGGAAACGACAGCUAAUACCGGAUAUUAUGGGAACCUCGCAUGGGGAACUCAUGAAAGCUAUAUGCGCUAGAGGAGAGCUUUUGCGUGCCAUUAGCUAGUUGGUGGGGUAACGGCCCACCAAGGCGACGAUGGCUAGCCGGCCUGAGAGGGUGAUCGGCCACAAGGGGACUGAGACACGGCCCUUACUCCUACGGGAGGCAGCAGUGGGGAAUAUUGGACAAUGGACCAAAAGUCUGAUCCAGCAAUUCUGUGUGCACGAUG
rnacentral:rRNA from 1 species